rnacentral:rRNA from 1 species
UACGGAAGGGCAGCAGUGGGGAAUAUUGCACAAUGGGCGAAAGCCUGAUGCAGCUAUGCCGCGUGUAUGAAGAAGGCCUUAGGGUUGUAAAGUACUUUCAUCGGGGAGGAAAAAACAAAACUAAUAAUUUUAUUUCUUGACGUUACCCGAAAAAGAAGCACCGGCUAACUCCGUGCCAGCAGCCGCGGUAAUACGGAGGGUGCUAGCGUUAAUCAGAAUUACUGGGCGUAAAGAGCACGUAGGUGGUUUUUUUAAGUCAGAUGUGAAAUCCCUGGGCUUAACCUAGGAACUGCAUUUUGAAACUGAAAUACUAGAGUAUCGUAGAGGGAGGUAGAAUUCUAGGUGUAGCGGUGAAAUGCGUAGAUAUCUGGAGGAAUACCUGUGGCGAAAGCGGCCUCCUAAACGAAUACUGACACUGAGGUGCGAAAGCGUGGGGAGCAAACAGGGAUUAGAUACC